GAACCUGCACUCUGGUUGAAUGCACCCUGAGACUCAGCAGGCUCGGGUGUCUUAUUUUUUCCUCUCUUUUUGGACAAAGAAAACGAACACGCAAGGACGAUUGAAGGUUCCAUGAUCUAUUGAACAUUGACAUUUUAUUACGUCCUUAACAGAUGGUGACCCUGCGUCCGAUAAUUAAUAAUAAUAAAUUUUGGUCAUCAACUACUUGCCCUGUACUCACAAACAGAGCGCUCACAAACUAAGGUUUUGUCUGACUCACGAGAUAGAGAAAUCCUACAACAAAGGUUGGGGAAGGUUAGCCUCCAAUCACGACAGAUUGGGGAAGGUUGUCCCCUGACGACGGUUGGGGAAGAUUUACCACUAUUAAAAGCCCCGGAUGGAAAAGUAACGAGAGCCCUACAUGGGUUAAAGACUUUGGCUGCUGAAAUGGCAGAUUCAACAGGCGUUUCCAACCCCCUGGAAGAAUGGGCUACGGCAUGGUUUGGAAAAUGGAAACACCUUGUAAUUACAUUUAUAAUUGCUAUUGUUACUGCUGUUACUUUUUUAUUGCUUUUCAGAUGCUGUAUUAUUCCAUGUACGAGGACAAUGUGUGUCAAGAUGGUCUCGGGAGUGGUGGAAAAGAAUAUGAACCAGCUGGAAUCACAGAUGUUGAUGACCUCCGAAGAAGCUCCUACUCCUGAAGUUCUGCUCACACAAGACGACGUCGUGUCCAGAUGGAUGAAUUAUUGAUUAAGAAUAUACAGUGUCCUUUCUCUUAGCAUGUUACGGGACUUGUCUUUUCCCUCCUCAAAUCAAUAUAUGGGGAGGUUUUUGGCCUGUCUCAAGAGGAGUACAGCCUUAUGAAGAAUGCUUAGCUCAUGACUACAUUGUUUAUAUAUCCUCUGAUAGCCUUCCACAUAGAGUAGUAGUGCUUAGGGUCUGUUACAUAGUUCCACUAUGUAAACAGGGGAAUUGUUGGAUUGUUCUGUUUUGUACUCAUGAAGCUAUGUUCCAUUAUCGAACAAUUAAGUUCCGUUUCCAAAACAAUAGGGUAAUACAUGAUUAAGUUUUGUUAUCCAUGAGAAUAUGUAGGAGUUGAGAUUACUGAGGAAUGAUGGUUUUAGUAUGACUCCCCCAUUUCUGAUAACAUCCAAGGCCAGAGAUACCUUCUGCCAGAUAUAUCAAAACCUUCUGCUGAACAGUCAUAACGAAACCUUCUGACGUGUAUAAAAGGAGUUAGCUCAAAAAAACAAGGUGUGUCAUUAAGUGAACCUACACUCUGGUGUACAGUUGAUUCCAUUACAACAUUCUGGCAAUUUUUUUAAUUGAGUU